rnacentral:rRNA from 1 species
UGGGGAAUCUUCGACAAUGGGGGAAACCCUGAUCUAGCCAUGCCGCGUGAGUGACGAAGGCCUUAGGGUCGUAAAGCUCUUUCGCCAGGGAUGAUAAUGACAGUACCUGGUAAAGAAACCCCGGCUAACUCCGUGCCAGCAGCCGCGGUAAUACGGAGGGGGUUAGCGUUGUUCGGAAUUACUGGGCGUAAAGCGCACGUAGGCGGACUAUUAAGUCAGGGGUGAAAUCCCGGGGCUCAACCCCGGAACUGCCUUUGAUACUGGUAGUCUUGAGUACGAGAGAGGUGAGUGGAAUUCCGAGUGUAGAGGUGAAAUUCGUAGAUAUUCGCCGGAACACCAGUGGCGAAGGCGACUGGCUGGUCCGUUUCUGACGCUGAGGUGCGAAAGCGUGGGGAGCAAACAGGAUUAGAUACCCGGGUAGUCC